AUGAACGCUAGCUACAGGCUUAACACAUGCAAGUCGAGGGGCAGCAUGGUCUUAGCUUGCUAAGGCCGAUGGCGACCGGCGCACGGGUGAGUAACACGUAUCCAACCUGCCGUCUACUCUUGGACAGCCUUCUGAAAGGAAGAUUAAUACAAGAUGGCAUCAUGAGUCCGCAUGUUCACAUGAUUAAAGGUAUUCCGGUAGACGAUGGGGAUGCGUUCCAUUAGAUAGUAGGCGGGGUAACGGCCCACCUAGUCUUCGAUGGAUAGGGGUUCUGAGAGGAAGGUCCCCCACAUUGGAACUGAGACACGGUCCAAACUCCUACGGGAGGCAGCAGUGAGGAAUAUUGGUCAAUGGGCGAGAGCCUGAACCAGCCAAGUAGCGUGAAGGAUGACUGCCCUAUGGGUUGUAAACUUCUUUUAUAAAGGAAUAAAGUCGGGUAUGCAUACCCGUUUGCAUGUACUUUAUGAAUAAGGAUCGGCUAACUCCGUGCCAGCAGCCGCGGUAAUACGGAGGAUCCGAGCGUUAUCCGGAUUUAUUGGGUUUAAAGGGAGCGUAGAUGGAUGUUUAAGUCAGUUGGAAAAGUUUGCGGCUCAACCGUAAAAUUGCAGUUGAUACUGGAUAUCUUGAGUGCAGUUGAGGCAGGCGGAAUUCGUGGUGUAGCGGUGAAAUGCUUAGAUAUCACGAAGAACUCCGAUUGCGAAGGCAGCCUGCUAAGCUGCAACUGACAUUGAGGCUCGAAAGUGUGGGUAUCAAACAGGAUUAGAUACCCUGGUAGUCCACACGGUAAACGAUGAAUACUCGCUGUUUGCGAUAUACAGCAAGCGGCCAAGCGAAAGCGUUAAGUAUUCCACCUGGGGAGUACGCCGGCAACGGUGAAACUCAAAGGAAUUGACGGGGGCCCGCACAAGCGGAGGAACAUGUGGUUUAAUUCGAUGAUACGCGAGGAACCUUACCCGGGCUUAAAUUGCAGAUGAAUUACGGUGAAAGCCGUAAGCCGCAAGGCAUCUGUGAAGGUGCUGCAUGGUUGUCGUCAGCUCGUGCCGUGAGGUGUCGGCUUAAGUGCCAUAACGAGCGCAACCCUUGUUGUCAGUUACUAACAGGUUCCGCUGAGGACUCUGACAAGACUGCCAUCGUAAGAUGUGAGGAAGGUGGGGAUGACGUCAAAUCAGCACGGCCCUUACGUCCGGGGCUACACACGUGUUACAAUGGGGGGUACAGAGGGCCGCUACCACGCGAGUGGAUGCCAAUCCCAAAAACCUCUCUCAGUUCGGACUGGAGUCUGCAACCCGACUCCACGAAGCUGGAUUCGCUAGUAAUCGCGCAUCAGCCACGGCGCGGUGAAUACGUUCCCGGGCCUUGUACACACCGCCCGUCAAGCCAUGGGAGCCGGGGGUACCUGAAGUGCGUAACCGCGAGGAGCGCCCUAGGGUAAAACUGGUGACUGGGGCU
rnacentral:rRNA from 1 species